GCGGCGGUAAUUCACCGGUAGAAUGUCUCCUUCCCAAGGAGAAUGUAGAGGGUUCGACUCCCUUUCGCCGCU
rnacentral:tRNA from 1 species